GUACCCGUUGAUCCUGCGGGAGAUUGCUGCUAUUAGGAUUCGACUAAGCCAUGCAAGUCAAGGGGAUAGCAAUAUCACCGGCAUACUGCUCAGUAACACGUCGAUAAUCUGUCCUUUGGUUCGGGAUACCCUCGGUAAACUGAGGUUAAAACCGGAUAGGGAAAACAUACUGGAAUGUGGUUUUCCUUAAAAGCAAUGCCAAAGGGUGAGUCGGCGGCUGAUUAGCCUGUUGGUGAGGUAAAGGCUCACCAAAGCUACGAUCAGUAAGGGCCAUGAGAGUGGGAGCCCUGAGAAGGGUACUGAGAUACUGACCCUAGCUCCACGGAGUGCAGCAGGCGCGAAAACUUUACAAUGCACGAAAGUGUGAUAAGGGGAUCCUAAGUGCUUAUACUUAGUAUAAGCUUUUUUCAAGAGUAAAUAUCUUGGAGAAUAAGUGGUGGGUAAGACUGGUGCCAGCAGCCGCGGUAACCCCAGCGCCACAAGUGGCAAUCGCUUUUAUUGGGCCUAAAGCGUCCGUAGCAGGUUUUGUAAAUCUUCUGUGAAAUCGUUGAGCUUAACUUAACGGCGAGCAGAAGACACUACUUGACUAGAGACCGGGAGAAGUUAGGGGUAUUUUGAGGGGAGCGGUAAAAUGUUAUAAUCCUCAAAAGACCACCUGUGGCGAAGGCGCCUAACUAGAACGGAUCUGACUGUGAGGAACGAAAGCCAGGGGAGCAAAUCGGAUUAGAUAUCGAAAAUUCUGCGAAUUUUUGGAUUUAGUCUCACAAUAUUGCUUGUAAAUCUUACAUUGUGAGUCGGUCUGAAAAUAUAAUUAUCAGAAUUGUUCGACUAAAUACCCGAGUAGUCCUGGCUGUAAACGCUGCGAGCUAGGUGUUACAUAUUCUUCGUGAGUAUGUAGUGUCGAAGCGAAGGUGUUAAGCUCGCCGCCUGGGAAGUAUGGUCGCAAGACUGAAACUUAAAGGAAUUGGCGGGGGAGCACCACAAGGGGUGCGGCGUGCGGUUUAAUCUAAUUCAACGCAGAGAAUCUCACCAGAGGCGACGGCAGGAUGAUAGUCAGGCUGAAGACUUUACUUGACGAGCCGAGAGGUAGUGCAUGGCCGCCGUCAGCUCGUGCCAUGAGGUGUCCUGUUAAGUCAGGUAACGAGCAAGACCUAUACCUACAAUUGCUAACGGCUUAUGGAAGGACGAGCACAUUGUAGGGACUGCCUUGGAAACAAGGAGGAAGGUGUAGGCUACGGUAGGUCUGUAUGCUCCGAAUCUUCUGGGCUACACGCGCGCAACAAUGGUAUGGACAAUGGGAUGCAACUCUGAAAAGAGAAGCUAAUCCUCUAAACCAUAUCCAAGUCCAGAUUGAGGAUUGCAACCCAUCCUCAUGACGAUGGAAUCCCUAGUAAUCGGAGCUCAUCACACUCCAGUGAAUGUGUCCCUGCUCCUUGCACACACCGCCCGUCAAACCAACCGAGCAGGGUUUUGGUGAGGCUUAAUUUUUUGAUUAUGCCGAACCUAAACUCAGUGAGGUGGGUUAAGUCGUCACAAGGUAGCCGUAGGGGAACCUGCGGCUGGAUCACCUCCU
rnacentral:rRNA from 1 species